AGAGACUCAGUGAAAUUGAAUUCCCCGUGAAGAUGCGGGGUUCCUGCGGUCAGACGGAAAGACCCCGUGCACCUUUACUAUAGGUUCACAUUGACAUUGGAUAAUUCAUGUGUAGGAUAGGUGGGAGACUUUGAUCUUGCUUCGCUAGGAGUAAGUUAGUCGUCCUUGAAAUACCACCCUUGGAUUAUUUGAUGUCUAAUCCCUAGCAAUAGGGAGACAUUGUGUGCUGGGUAGUUUGACUGGGGUGGUCGCCUCCAAAAGAGUAACGGAGGCUUCUAAAGGUACCCUCAGUACGCUUGGUAACCGUGCGUAGAGUAUAAUGGCAUAAGGGUGCUUGACUGGGAGACUUACAAGUCGAUCAGGUACGAAAGUAGGGCAUAGUGAUCCGGUGGUUCCGCAUGGAAGGGCCAUCGCUCAAAGGAUAAAAGGUAC
rnacentral:rRNA from 1 species